rnacentral:rRNA from 2 species
CCUACGGGCGGCAGCAGUGGGGAAUAUUGGACAAUGGGCGAAAGCCUGAUCCAGCAAUGCCGCGUGAGUGAUGAAGGCCUUAGGGUUGUAAAGCUCUUUUACCCGAGAUGAUAAUGACAGUAUCGGGAGAAUAAGCUCCGGCUAACUCCGUGCCAGCAGCCGCGGUAAUACGGAGGGAGCUAGCGUUGUUCGGAAUUACUGGGCGUAAAGCGCACGUAGGCGGCUUUUUAAGUCAGGGGUGAAAUCCCGGGGCUCAACCCCGGAACUGCCCUUGAAACUGGGAAGCUAGAAUCUUGGAGAGGCGAGUGGAAUUCCGAGUGUAGAGGUGAAAUUCGUAGAUAUUCGGAAGAACACCAGUGGCGAAGGCGACUCGCUGGACAAGUAUUGACGCUGAGGUGCGAAAGCGUGGGGAGCAAACAGGAUUAGAUACCCCGGUAGUC